AACGAACGCUGGCGGCAGGCCUAACACAUGCAAGUCGAACGCUGUAGCAAUACAGAGUGGCAGACGGGUGAGUAACGCGUGGGAACCUUCCCAAUGGUGCGGAAUAGCUCAGGGAAACUUGAGGUAAUACCGCAUAAGCCCUUAGGGGGAAAGAUUUAUCGCCAUUGGAUAGGCCCGCGUCGGAUUAGCUAGUUGGUGAGGUAAUGGCUCACCAAGGCAACGAUCCGUAGCUGGUUUGAGAGAAUGACCAGCCACACUGGGACUGAGACACGGCCCAGACUCCUACGGGAGGCAGCAGUGGGGAAUCUUGGACAAUGGGCGCAAGCCUGAUCCAGCCAUGCCGCGUGAGUGACGAAGGCCUUAGGGUUGUAAAGCUCUUUUGCCGGGGACGAUAAUGACGGUACCCGGAGAAUAAGUCCCGGCUAACUUCGUGCCAGCCGCCGCGGUAAUAC
rnacentral:rRNA from 1 species